rnacentral:rRNA from 1 species
GAGCUCAUCAUUGGAAUCUGGCAGUGUUGCACUGUCCGAGUUGUAGAUGAGGAGUAGUCCGUCUGGACUGCAUGGCGUCCAAGUACAAUAGGCCGUCAGUGGGACAUCAUAGAGGGUGACAAUCCCGUCCUUGACGCCAAUGUGCAAGUCUAUUACGAUGGCUAUCUCAGAGAGUCGAGCAGUUUGGGAUUUGCUGCUUAAACAUGGGAGGUAGAUUCCUUCUAAAGCUAAAUACAGGCGAGAGACCGAUAGAGAACAAGUACCGCAAGGGAAAGAUGAAAUAGCACUCUGUGAAGGGAGUCAAAAGGCGUGAAAUUGUUGCGAGAGAAGCGAUUCAAGUCAGCGUAGCUAGGCCCAUCAAGCGUCUUCGCUUUGGACUAGCUUUGCCAGCGGUCUUGUCCCUUGAAGAGACUUGACUUGUAAUAUGUCCAGCCUGGCGUGCACAGGCAGCCCCUUCUGGGGGCCAGUGGCAUGGCUGGUGGAAUGGCUUGCAAUCGACCCGUCUUGAAACACGGACCAAGGAGUCUAACAUGUAUGCGAGUAUAAGGGUGGCAAACCCGUAUGCGCAAUGAAAGUGAUUUUCGGUGAUUGAGAAUGGCCUGAUGACCAGACAAGCAAUAUAUGUCCCUCGUACGGCCAUUGCCCAAGUUCCGUGGUAGAUCCCACGAACAUGGAGUUGGAGCAUACAUGCUAGGACCCGAAAGAUGGUGAACUAUGCCUGGACAAAGCGAAGCCAAAGGAAACUCUGGUGGAGGCUUGUAGCGAUUCUGACGUGCAAAUCGAUCGUCUGAUCUGGGUAUAGGGGCGAAAGACUAAUCGAACCAUCUCAUAGCUGGUUCCUGCCGA